UACGUAGGGUGCGAGCGUUGUCCGGAAUUAUUGGGCGUAAAGAGCUUGUAGGCGGUUUGUCGCGUCUGCUGUGAAAAUCCGGGGCUCAACCCCGGACUUGCAGUGGGUACGGGCAGACUAGAGUGCGGUAGGGGAGAUUGGAAUUCCUGGUGUAGCGGUGGAAUGCGCAGAUAUCAGGAGGAACACCGAUGGCGAAGGCAGAUCUCUGGGCCGUAACUGACGCUGAGGAGCGAAAGCAUGGGGAGCGAACAGG
rnacentral:rRNA from 1 species